rnacentral:lncRNA from 1 species
UUCUUUUUCUUUUUCUUUCUCUUUUUCCAAAAAAAAAAACUUCAAAUAUCGUUUCUAUAGUUUUAAACUUUUUUUAUUUUAAUAUUCUCUAAUAAUUUAAAAUAUAUUAAUUUAGUAUUCUAUAAUUUUUUAUUAUUUUUUUAUUAACUUUUUUUUAUUAAAUUAAUAUUCAAUAAAUUUAAAUUGAGUAUCUAAAGUAAUUAUGUAUUAAUUUAACGAAAUAUUAAUAAAAAAGCUGUCGAAAAAAAUAAAAUAAAAUCACAGAGUGAUAAAUUAAUACACUUUAAAAUAUAAAGUACUACGAUAAAAAAAAUGUAAAAUCAUAUAGUGAUAUUGGAAGUUUAUUCUUUUUUAAAAGAAAAAAAAAAAAUUUUGGCGCGUUACUCUACCUAAUUCUUCUUUGUUUGAACUUGCUUUGAGAUUCGCGCGCCGAUUUUAAUCAGAACCGUACAGUAGUGAAGUCGGCAGGUUGAGUGGCUUCGUCACCGAAUUUCUGAGGGGGAAAAACAUGAUAUCAUAUCUCUAAGAAAAGGGCACACUAGGAUAAAAAAUAAAAAAAAAGAAAAAUUUUCAAAUACCACUUCUAUGAUUUUGUACUUUCUCACUUUAAUACUAUGUGGUUUAAAAUAUAUCAAUUUAGUACCCUGUGAUUUUUUUUUCUCUUUUUAUUAUCUAUUCCAAAAAAGAGAGAAGAAUACUUGAAUUAAUAAGACGUAAUAAAAGAACACUUUUGUGGAGUUGAGCUAAAAUACUAUCGACAGCAAACGGGUUCUGUUGUCACCCAUUUGUUUUCGAUGAUGUAGCAUCCAAAUCGACGAUCGGCACCAUUGAAUAUGAUCUGUACUACUUGAAGUAUUUAGAAAUCAAAUUUCAUACAUUUUCGAUAUUGUUCUCUUAUCCAUCGAGUUGACACAAAAAUGAACGGCUGAAAAUGAAUAUUCUUUAAAAAAUAAUGAUAGGAGUCUUGUAAUCAAGAUCAAAAGUAUAGAUCUUGUUUUAAAUAGUUUAAAGAAUUUUCUAACAAAAAUUCAAUUGAUUUGGAUAUCCUUACACCAUUAAACGAGAAAACGCCUCAUAUCGAUCAUUAAAAUUACAAAUUUUGAGACCCUUUGAUCAUUAGGCAAAUGAUGUCGAAAAGAUUUGAAAUUUGAUUUCUAAACACUUUAAGUUGUAUUGAUUAUAUUCAACAGUGCCGAUCGUUAAUUUGGAGGCUCUAUCAUCGAAAACAAACGGGCGGCAACGGAGCCCGUUUGCUAUUGAUAGUAUUCUAGCUCAACUCCACUUUUGUGUUGAAAUAUUCUUAUAUAGUA